rnacentral:rRNA from 1 species
UUAAGUGACUAAGCGUACACGGUGGAUGCCUGGGCAGUCAGAGGCGAUGAAGGACGUACUAACUUGCGAUAAGCGCAGAUAAGGCAGUAAGAGCCGUUUGAGUCUGCGAUUUCCGAAUGGGGAAACCUAACUGCAUAAGCAGUUACUGUUAACUGAAUACAUAGGUUAACAGAGCAAACCGGGGGAACUGAAACAUCUAAGUACCCCGAGGAGAAGAAAUCAACCGAGAUUCCGGUAGUAGCGGCGAGCGAACCUGGAUUAGCCCUUAAGCACUCGGUGAAGUAGGUGAACAAGCUGGAAAGCUUGGCGAUACAGGGUGAUAGCCCCGUAACC